rnacentral:rRNA from 1 species
GAGGAAUAUUGGGCAAUGGGCGCAAGCCUGACCCAGCCACGCCGUGUGAGUGAUGAAGGCCUUCGGGUUGUAAAGCUCUGUACGAGAGGGACGAAAAACCUUGUUCGAAUAGGGCGAGGAAUUGACGGUACCUCUUUAGAAAGCACCGGCUAACUCCGUGCCAGCAGCCGCGGUAAUACGGAGGGAGCUAGCGUUGUUCGGAAUUACUGGGCGUAAAGCGCGCGUAGGCGGCUUUGUAAGUUAGAGGUGAAAGCCCGGGGCUCAACCCCGGAACUGCCUUUAAGACUGCAUCGCUUGAAUCCGGGAGAGGUGAGUGGAAUUCCGAGUGUAGAGGUGAAAUUCGUAGAUAUUCGGAAGAACACCAGUGGCGAAGGCGGCUCACUGGACCGGUAUUGACGCUGAUGUGCGAAAGCGUGGGGAGCAAA